GCAUUAGCCAAUGCAUAGUCGGCCUCCGCUAAGGAGGAAGUACAGUUGGCCAAGGAUGCUCUAAGUCGGGCGCAGGAGCAAGCCGUCGAGGAUUACAAAGAAUCCGAAGACUUCAAAAAUAAAAUCCUCGAGGGUAGCUACGGCUCUUACUGUAUCAGCUAUGAAGACAGCAGGAAUGCGGUCAAAAAAUUAUAUUCGGACUUAGAUCUGAGCAGUAUCACUACCCCUGAUUAGGAAGAAGAAGAGGCUAUCGAAGAAAUAGUGCCGACUGAAGAAGCUGCACCGACCGCACCAGAGUUUAUUCCAGUUAUGGAGGAAGCCAUACUGG
rnacentral:lncRNA from 1 species